CUCUUUUUGACCUUCAGGCACCCUCUUGGGUCUUUUACAAGUGAACUUUCUUUCCUGUUUUAAAGCCUUUUAAAUAAACUUCCACUCCUGUGCUGAAACUUGCCUUAGUCUUUUUUUCUGCUUUAUGCCCCUCAGUCGAAUUCUUUCAUCUGAGGAGGCAAGAAUUGAAGUUGCUGCAGACGCCUGUGGAUUCACCACAAGUACAUUGGAGUAACCACUGGGAACAACAGGUUGCCUUAGAAGCUUUGCAGGUUGUUUUGUUUUUUUGUUUGUUUGUUUUUUUGAGACGGGGUCUCACUUUGUCGCCCAGGUUUGUUGCCCAGGCUGGAGUGCAGUGGCGCAAUCUCGGCUCUCCGCAACCUCUGCCUCCCGGGCUCAAGUGAUCCUCCCACCUCGGCUUCCCGAGUACCUGGGACUACAGGCAUGCACCACCACACCCGGCUAAUUUUAAUUUUUAUUUUGUAUUUUUAGUAGAGUUGGGGUUUCACCAUGUUCCCAGCUGGUCUUGAACUCUUGAGGUGAAGCAAUCCGCCCACCUCAGCCUCCCAAAGUGCUGAGAUUACAGACGUGAGCCAUCGCGCCUAGCCUUGCAAGUUGUUUUUUGUUGAACAGAAGAAGCUAUUCAAAAAUGUCCAGGACUCUGUUAUUUAUUCAGCAAGCUUACAAAGCCAUCUUUGAUUGACUGAUUCUUUGACAAUGACUAUCUGGAUGACACAGGAAGGAUGCAAUUCUGGCCUUGGAGAGAAAACUUGCAAGGAAAGGAACAUGUUUGAAUUUCAGAUGUGUUCCUCAAUGAAUCACUUGAAGAUGAAAAUUCUAAGUAAUCUCACCAGGUUGGACAACUGGCUAUGAAAUGGCAUGAAAUAUCUGUUCCCAAUACUAUCUGAUGGAAACACUGAAGUUACACUGAUGGCUGUUCAGCAUCAGUGGCCAAGAGCACAGAUAUUGGCAUCAAUCAGAGCUGGAUCUGCAUCUUGGCACAACUACUGCAUAAUCACAGCAUUCCUUGAGCUCUUGCUACCUGGCCAGGCAAGGUGUGAUGGGCUUUUAUAUGAACGAUUUCAAUGAGUAUUCACAACAAUCCUACCUAAUAGCAUAGUUGGCGUUAUUAUUAUGAGUUAUCACAUGGAGGUCUGCAACAGCAGUCAGUGUGUCUGAGUUGAAUCCUGGCAUUACCCCUUACUAUCUUUGCAUUAUUGAGGAAGUCCUUUAACCUCUUCAAGCUUUGGAUUCUUCAUUUGUAAAGUGGUAAUAACAUCUUCCUCAAUGUGCUGUGAAGACUCUAAAAGAAAAAAUAUAUAAAGUGCUUAGCACAGUGAUUGGUGCACAUGAGUGCUCAAUAAAAGGUGACUAGAUGCAUUAUUUUUCUGUGAAACAUUGAGAAUAAAAGGGAUGUUGCCUUGUAGCUUUCAAACAAAGACUUUUUGGAAACUUGAUAAAGAGGCCAUGAGAAUGCACCUCCCAGACCUUCUACCACAGGGCAUAGUAGAAGGCCAUUUGUAAUUGGCCUAUGGCACCAGCUACUAAGUUUUGAAAUGCAUGGGUACCUUUGCUUGAGGCUUGAGGCUAUACUUCCCAUGGGCUGCUCCUUGCCAGUGAUGCAGUGUAGUGGGGAUACAAAGGCAGACUCAUUCAUAGAGCCAUGGGACUCCUACCAGUGUCCACUUAGGCUCAAGGACUUUCUGCUAACUUUGUUGAACCUUCGUUAGACUGCACUGUAUUUCUACGAUGCUUCCAUGCAAUCUUCUCUCCUCUCUUCUUUGCUUGAGAUUAGGCUUGCAAUGGAGUCUUAUUGCUCUACCUGCUGUUUCCUUUCACACAGGCAUUCCUUCUAAUCAAUUCCUUGCAUGUUUAAUCCUGUUCCAGGUGUUGGCUUGUUAGAGGAUCUGAACUAACACACUUGCGUUCUUGUUCAGUGUACCCUGGCAAUCAUGCUGAUUGGAACUUGCAAAGGGUUUUUCCUGGCCCCUAUCUCAGGAAAAUGAUGUUCACCACUAUUUUCCUUAGAAGUCUCUCUUCAUUCCUCCAAUGGUUCCUUGACCUCAUUCAUUUGAUUUCCCACCAUAUUUUAACAGUGAGAGUCACCUCCCAUCACCCUUCUUUGAUUUUCCUUCCAGCCACCUAUAUUUAGUAAUUCAUUCUUCAUCUGCUCCUUUUUUUCUCUCUCUUCCUUGCAACUUUGAAUUGUAGGAUGUUUAGUGAGACAUCCUAUAUCCUUCAUAUAUCUUUGCACUUCCUCAACUUUUAAUUGCAGUCAACUUUGCAAAUUUGCAUAGAGAUUUUCUUUAUAUAAUUAAGUUACAUAUAAUGGAAUUUUUACCGUUUUUGUGAUUCUUUCUUAUAACUCUAUGUUCUACAUAACCCUGCAUUUAAAUACUCAUUCAGUUUAGUAUUGGACAAAUUACUUCUCUGAUUCUCAAACUCCUCGCUGUGAAACAGGGAUGAGCAUACAUGCCCCUUCUGGUUGUUGUGAAGAUUAAAUGAACACACAUCAAUGGAACCUAGCUCUGUGCCCAAUGUUUGGCAAAAGUUAGUUCAUUCUCCUACCUAGGUAACUCAAAAUCUAAGACAGUUCUUGGUUGUAUUAAGAAGAAAUAAAAUACUGCUUAAACUGAAAACAUUCAAAGAUAGAAAGCAGGCUCAUAGAAGUUAGCACAGCUAAGGGCAAGAUUUGAAUUCAGAUUUCCUGAUCCCAGAGUGUGCCUUAAUUACUAAUCAUUUAUUAUAAAAGAAGACAAAAAGUACUUCACUUCUAUCUUGUCAGUGUGUUAGUCUGUUUGGGCUGCUAUAACAAAAUACUAUAAACUGGGAGGCUUACAAAACAGAAUUUUAUUUUUCACAGUUCUGGAGGCUGGGAAGUCUGAGAUCCAGAAACGGGCAGAUUCUGUGUCUAGAGAGGACCCACUUCCUGGUUCAUGGAUGGUGCCUUCUUGCCGUGUUCUCACAUAGUAGAAGAAGCUAGUCAGCUCUCUGGGGUCUCUUUUAUAAGUAUACUAAGUGCAUUAAUCACUUCCUAAAAGUGCCAUUUUCUAAAACCAUCACCUUGGGGUUAGGAUUUUCACAUAUGGAUCUUGAGGGAACACAAACAUUCAGAUCAUAGCAGGUGGGUUCCCCAGAAGCAGACCCUGAGACAAGGAUUCAUGUGCAAGUGAUUUGUUAUUUAUUAUUUUCCUCCCAAGGGAAAUCAGUAAGGAAAUGAAGGAAGAAUAGGGAAGGAGAGGAAGCCAAACAAGGUGCAAUAUUGGACAAAAGUCCUGCGGAAGAUAGGUGUGGCCUGAUCCCAUAGGGGAACUUAGAGAAUAACGUGAGGCAGAGGAGCUUGGCUUUCAUACUCCUCUGCCCAGCAGCUAAGCACCAUCCAGAGAGAGGUAAAGUUGCAGGCAUUUCUGAAUCAACAUGUGCAGGGGAUGGGGGUGGGAAGCAGCUUCACUGACUGAGGGAAGUCUUCUAAAGAAGGGCUGGCCAUCGGGAGCAAGAGCAGAGAGGUGCACAAAAAUGGUAAAAGGGGUCUGAAGGGUCUCGGUGGAUCACCAACACUGUGUACUUCAACUCCAGCCUGCUCCCUGGGAGGCUGUUUUCACAGUUUUGUUUUCACUUAGAAGAUGCUUAUUUCAAAGAGCGUGCACGCAGCUGCAUCUUCAACCUUUUUCCAUUGACUGGAUUUUUAAAUACACACACACACACUCACACACACACACACACACCCCUCUAUUCCAAAGGCCAUCAUCAAACCGGUUUAUAACUGAAAUUUAAAUUAGGGUAAUAUCUCUUGGAUAGUUUCACAUUAAGGAAUGAUUAGUAUUCCUCUUGCAUAACUUCAAAGCUAAAAAAUCCUCAGUGCCACCAUUUUCAUAUUUCUUGAUGCUAUCUAGUCCCUUCUCAGAAUCAGCAAAUUAGGCUUGGGCAGGACCUGAUCUCUGCUUCACCCUUGCUUUUAUCUAAAAUAUUCUUGGCUUCUAUAAUAAUGAAGCUAAUACUUAUACAAUUAUGCCUAUGUGCUGGUCUAAAUGCUCUUUGUAUGUUAACUCAUUUAAUAUUUGCAACAACUCUGUUGUAAUAAGUACCAGCAUAAUCCCUGUUUAUGGGUGAAGAAACAGGCACAAAUGGGUAAGUAGUAGAAGUGGGUUUCAAACACUCUGGCUCUAACUAAAGUCCAUGUUUGUAAUCAUUAUGCUGAAAUGCCUCUCCACGAGGGAUGAAAGUCCCUCCAAAAGCAGCCUACAUUGAUUUCUGUUCCAUCUACUUUCUCAUCAAUGACUUCCUGUUAGCCUGAAUUGAACUAAUAAGUACUCAAGACUAGUAAAUACUUAGUUCCUGAACUUGGUGAUUCAGAUAGCAGGAAGCCCAAUGUAGCUUCCUUCCAGUUUCUAUUCUAGGCCAUCUGUGGCUUGCUUCAUAUUCUCUCCCAGCAGGACUCCACAGAGGCCAGGAUUUUGACACUUUUGACUAUUAUAAAUAAAACUGAUCAAAAUACCUCCUACAAAUCAUAUGACAUAAUAGGGAAUUAAUAGACCUUUUAUUAAAUGAUUACAAAUCAUACUUAAAAAGGAUAUAACUGCACACUGUAUGAUAUAAAGCUUUAAAACAUGCACAUAAAUUGAUAUAAGAAGGCACUUAUGAAGUCCAUACAGUCAAAUUUAUUUACCUGUAUUUAUUUACAGGAUCUUCAGGGAAUGUUUCAGGUGGAGGAAGGGGCUCUUGGUCAAUGAGCCUGAAGACUGCAUGGCAACCUUUGCCAGCUUUUGGCCUGAAAACUCAACUUCUUCAUUUGAGAUAAUUCCUGUUUUAUAUACUUUCAUUUGAGAUAUUCCUGGUGUAUCAACUGAAACAAAAUCUAUGAAAUAUCAGAUUCACAAAAAUACAUUUUGAAUAUUGAACGUG
rnacentral:lncRNA from 1 species